rnacentral:rRNA from 1 species
UGGGGAAUAUUGGACAAUGGGCGAAAGCCUGAUCCAGCCAUGCCGCGUGUGUGAAGAAGGUCUUCGGAUUGUAAAGCACUUUAAGUUGGGAGGAAGGGCAUUAACUUAAUACGUUGGUGUCUUGACGUUACCGACAGAAUAAGCACCGGCUAACUCUGUGCCAGCAGCCGCGGUAAUACAGAGGGUGCAAGCGUUAAUCGGAAUUACUGGGCGUAAAGCGCACGCAGGCGGUCUGUUAAGUUGGAUGUGAAAUCCCCGGGCUAAACCUGGGAACUGCAUUCAAAACUGACGAGCUAGAGUAUGGUAGAGGGUGGUGGAAUUUCCUGUGUAGCGGUGAAAUGCGUAGAUAUAAAGAGGAACACCAAUGGCGAAGGCGACCACCUAGACUGAUACUGACACUGAGGUGCGAAAGCGUGGGGAGCAAAC